CCUACGGGUGGCAGCAGUGGGGAAUAUUGCGCAAUGGGCGAAAGCCUGACGCAGCGACGCCGCGUGAGGGAUGAAGGUCUUCGGAUCGUAAACCUCUGUCAGCAGGGAAGAACGGUCACUGUGCUAAUCAGCAGUGAAUUGACGGUACCUGCAAAGGAAGCACCGGCUAACUACGUGCCAGCAGCCGCGGUAAUACGGAGGGUGCGAGCGUUAAUCGGAUUUACGGGGCGUAAAGCGCUCGUAGGCGGGAUGUCAAGUAAAGGGUGAAAUCCCCGCGCUCAACGUGGGAACUGCCUUUGAAACUGGCAAACUGGAGUGUGUGAGAGGAUAGUGGAAUUCCAGGUGUAGGAGUGAAAUCCGUAGAUAUCUGGAGGAACACCAGUGGCGAAGGCGACUAACUGGCACAUAACUGACGCUGAGGAGCGAAAGCGUGGGUAGCAAACAGGAUUAGAUACCCGGGUAGUC
rnacentral:rRNA from 1 species